GGGGUUGUAGUUCAGUGGUACAGUACUUGUCUAGUGUGCAUGAGGUCCUGGGUUUGAUCCCCAGCACCUUA
rnacentral:tRNA from 1 species